UACAGAGGUCUCAAGCGUUUGUUCGGAUUCAUUGGGCGUAAAGGGUGCGUAGGCGGCGCGGUAAGUCGGGUGUGAAAUCUCGGGGCUUAACUCCGAAACUGCAUUCGAUACGGGCAGGCUCGAGUUCGGUAGGGGAGACUGGAAUUCCUGGUGUAGCGGUGAAAUGCGCAGAUAUCAGGAGGAACACCGGUGGCGAAGGCGGGUCUCUGGGCCGAUACUGACGCUGGAGGAGCGAAAGCGUGGGGAGCGAACAGG
rnacentral:rRNA from 1 species